UGUUCUAACAUAAAAUCUUGUGCCAUAGAUGAUAAGACUAAUUAACUCAUACUGGUUUUACAAGUCAUAGUAAGAGCCCAGAGUAAUGUAAAGAUAGAUCAUACAGUCAAGUUCCAAGGUCUCUCUGGUUCCGAGCAAAGAAGAUCAAAAAGUAUCCUUUUAGGAGUAUACCUGGCAUUGAUUCAAACAUAACCAAGACAAAUAAAAUCAGAAGAAAACUAAUCAAGUGAAGAGUGCAAAAUCAACAUUUUUACCACACAAUAUGAUUAAAAGAGACGUGGGUCGAAAUAGAAAAAGAAAAGAAGCAAAAAGGUUGAAGAACUACACCUAGAAAAACUAACAUAGAAAGAGUCGUUCCUGGAGAGUUUCCUAUCUCCUCUACCACCACAUGGAAAUCCCCAAUGAAAUUCACAUUCACAUGAAUCAACUCACUCUCCACAACCCUAGAUUCUGCCAUCAAAUCCUCCGCGCUUCUGGUUACCACUUCUGGUUAUCAAAACCCAACAAUAUAAGUAUAAUUAGAAAGAUAACAUUACGAGCUUUCUAACGGUAUCUUCGAAUUGCCCGUCAGAAUUCAGACAAUCAAUUUAUUAGCUGACGAACUUUCAGCUCCGGUCAAAUUUCAAAAAUAUAAAAGUUUAUGUAUUUUUUGAGCAAAAAAAUAGAUUUGAUCAAAAAAUGUUGAGUAUAAUUUGUAUAUUUAUAGGCAA
rnacentral:lncRNA from 1 species